rnacentral:rRNA from 1 species
AUGAACGUUGGCGGCAUGGAUUAGGCAUGCAAGUCGAGCGAGAAGGAUUUCAAAGUUUACUUUGGAAUCUGGAAAGCGGCGCAAGGGAGAGUAACGCGUAGUUAUCUACCCCAAGGCCCGGAAUAGCUGCGGGAAACUGCAGGUAAUGCCGGAUAAUAUCCCCGGAUCAAAGGUGUGAUUCCGCCUUGGGAGGAGACUGCGUUGUACUAGCUUGUUGGUAGGGUAAUGGCCUACCAAGGCUACGAUGCAUAGCGGGCGUGAGAGCGUGGCCCGUCUCACUGGGACUGAAACACUGCCCAGACACCUACGGGUGGCUGCAGUCGAGAAUCUUCGGCAAUGGGCGAAAGCCUGACCGAGCAAUGCCGCGUGCGGGAUGAAGGCCCUCGGGUUGUAAACCGCUGUCGUAGGGGAGAAAGGUCUCAUGAAGAAUGAGAUUUGAUCUAUCCUAGGAGGAAGUCCGGGCUAAGUUCGU